rnacentral:ribozyme from 1 species
UGCCUAGCAACUCCUAUUCCUACCUCCUCGUGGUACUGGCUGGGGUAUAAGUAGCCUUAGGGAAGAUCGGGUAACCAACCCCGGUGGGAACUUCGUAUGCUGACAGGGAAGG